UUAGAUUUGGAUUUGAAAUUU
rnacentral:piRNA from 1 species